rnacentral:ribozyme from 1 species
UGCCCAGCAACUCCUAUCCCUAUCUCCUCGCGGUACUGGCCGGGGUACGAGUAAACUUAGGGAAGGUCGGCUAAUUAACCCCCGGUGGGAACUUUGGUCGUAUGUUGACAGAGAAGG